CCCUUAGAUGUUCUGGGCCGCACGCGUGCUACACUGAGUGGAUCAGCGGGUCAGGUUGCGCGAAAGCGUUUCCUAAUCUUUAAAUCCGCUCGUGAUGGGGAUUGACGGUUGCAAUUUUCUGUCAUGAACGAGGAAUACCUUGUAAGCGCGGGUCAUCAUCCCGCGCUGAAUACGUCCCUGCCCUUUGUACACACCGCCCGUCGCUCCUACCGAUUGAGUGGUCCGGUGAGGCCUCGGGAUUGUGGCCAGUUCACUUUAUUGGGAGUUGGCUGUGAGAACUUGUCUAAACCUUAUCAUUUAGAGGAAGGUGAAGUCGUAACA
rnacentral:rRNA from 1 species